ensembl:snRNA U6 U6 spliceosomal RNA
GUGUGCGCUUCGGCAGCACGUGUACUAAAAUUGGAACAUACAGACAAGAUUAGCAUGGCCCCUGGACAAAGAUGACACACAAAUUUGUGCAGCAUUCCAUAUUUUU